rnacentral:rRNA from 1 species
AUUGUACGCUGGCGGCAUGCCUUACACAUGCAAGUCGAACGGCAGCACGGGUGCUUGCACCUGGUGGCGAGUGGCGAACGGGUGAGUAAUAUAUCGGAACGUACCUUAUUGUGGGGGAUAACGCAGCGAAAGCUGUGCUAAUACCGCAUAAUCCCUUAGGGGGAAAGCGGGGGACCGUAAGGCCUCGCGCAAUUAGAGCGGCCGAUACCUGAUUAGCUAGUUGGUGAGGUAAAGGCUCACCAAGGCGACGAUCAGUAGCUGGUCUGAGAGGACGAUCAGCCACACUGGGACUGAGACACGGCCCAGACUCCUACGGGAAGCAGCAGUGGGGAAUUUUGGACAAUGGGGCAACCCUGAUCCAGCAAUGCCGCGUGAGUGAAGAAGGCCUUCGGGUUGUAAAGCUCUUUUGUCAGGGAAGAAACAGCAGCUCUAACACAGUAUGCGAAUGACGGUACCUGAAGAAUAAGCACCGGCUAACUACGUGCCAGCCGCCGCCGUAA